GGGUCUAAAAUGCUUCUGACCAAGGCUUGGAACCUCUGAAAAUGUCUGAGGGACAUUUUGAGUUCUGACACUCGUGCUGUUGGCUUGGAUGAGCUCCUUAGAAAUAUUACCAUAAUUUCUUCUGAAAAGAUGAAGCAGCAGAAGUCUGGGACCUACUUCUCCAUUUUCUCCCAGGUUACUCAUGGUUCUGAGGCCCUCUGUAAUGUCAAAGUGCUCUUUUUCUACUUUCAUAGCCUUGGUAGUAGGGCUUUUGAAAAAGGUCCCCUUUGCUGACAACUUCUUCAGGUCCUGGCUGGGAGCUUUUUACCUUCCAAACUGAAUUUCAAGCUACAGUAUUUUCACAAUUACCAUUUUUAUCUUCUCGUGGAAAAUGUAAAUUAACUGCUGAAUUUUUCUAAUUCUUUUUUUCUAAUUCUUGUUUUCCUUGGAAAAAAAAUUGUGGAAUCUGAAUAUUUUUCUUUUUGUAUUUCUUUUCACACAUGCUCUUCAGUGAAGCAAUUAAUUUAGAAUGCGUGCAGAAAAUGAAUUCUGGUUGGCUCAUGAUACCAUUUAAUUCUGGUGAGCAUGUUCAUAAUGUUUUCCAAGUCUGGUAAAUACUGAAAAUAUCUUUCUAUAGCACAGGAUCUAAAAGGUCUUUUGUAAUGUUGCAUUAUUUCUCAAAAUGAUGGACAGAAGAGUAUAAAUCCCAUCUAUCUGCCUGGUGCGUGACACAAACUCAGAACAUUUUGGGCUGGAAGGAAUGUUCAGAGAUCACUGAUUUCAGCCCCCAGUGCUCUUGAUUAGGCAACUGCAUAAACUUUGUGCAUCUGGUAAGUCUGUUGCAUAAAAUUUCCAGUGUAUCUGAUAAUUUACUGCUAAACUUGUCCUGAUUUUUUUUUUUGAGGAAGUUGAUUACUGAAAUUUGGUAUAUUUUUACAGACUUUAUUCGUUUAAUAUGUUAAAUAAUUCAUGAUACAUUAUAAAGCAGUUCUCCUUAACAAUCUUUUUACCCCAGGAGGAGUAAAAAAAUUACUUCAGGAUAGAGCAGGAGUAUUGCCCAAGAGAUUUCUCAAUGGUCUUUAAAAAUGCUUUUAUUGCUGUUUUUCAUCAAUAUAAAUCCCAGGAAUAAGGAUUCAGUUGAAGAGUUAGUUCAAAGGUUAUUCUUAGUGUAGUGUUUCUGGUGUGACAUGUGUGAACCCAAUGUGUCCUACUCUGACAAUAGCUGAAUAAUCACCAUGGGGAUAAGUGGCUUUAGAAGGCAAAACUGUUCCCUUAGCAAAAGAAAAAAAAAUCCAGGGAAAGCUCUUCAGAGAUCAAGGCUGAGAAGGAAAAAUAAUAAUUGUUAGAAAACCACUCAGCUGGAAAAAGUAGCCAAAUUCAUGGAGUCCAUAAUUUUCAGUAUCUGAAGUAAUCAUGAAUUUUUCUUUGAAGUUUUACCUUUUGAAAGCAGCUGGAUCCCUUGAGAAUCAAAAGCUGAGAGCCAGAAGUGGAGUGCUGUGAAUGCACAUCUUUUGUGGGCAACUGGGUUCUGCUGGGUCUUUAUCAGCUCUCCCAGUUAGUCAGGUGUGGAGAUUAAUGGUCAGUUUUUACCCAAAUAAUUUCUAAUCUUAUCUACGUUGCUUCUGGUGAUAAGAUUGGAGUGGGUGGGAGGUGCCUGGAGGGCCAGAGAGGUUGUGGGUAAAAAAACUCAACAGGGGUCUAAGAAAAGUUAUUUUUAAGUAUGAUCUUCCAACUAAGUUGUAAUUAUUCAACAUAUUUCAAGAUAUACCCAGAAGGAGGAGAAAUCUUUAUGAUUUUGGGUGGAUCUUUUUUGUUUUCCCAUUAGUUUGCACAGAGUAGUAAAUACUCAGAUGCUAUAAUUUGUCUUGGGAAAUUGAGGAACUUAGAGUGGAAGGAUUAGACAGUUUUGAUCAACCCUGGUUUGCAUCCAAGGAUUUUUUUUGUGAUUCAUCUUCAUCAUGGGCAAGGAGCUUCUAUGCUGUGCCUCAGAAGGUGCAAAGCCUUAGGUCCAUUUCCCCCUGCUGAAAGGUUGACUUUUAAUCUCUCCAUGUGUGGAUCUUGGGCUGUUUCAGGGUUUGAUAUGGUGCACCUCUGCUCCCAGAGCUGUGUGCCCACUCCCUGCCUGCACUGUCCUGCCUCACUGACCCCUCAUGGGAGCCUCCUGUGGCUCUGGGACAGUGCUAGGGCACACUCACAGUCCACUGACCACCAAGGCAUGUCUGGCUGGCAAAGUCCCUAACAGUGACACGGGAUAUGGGGUGAUCUGUGGAGUCUUUAUGGUUCGUUUCUUUCCCCUAAAUCUCUGCAGGCAGACUUUUUGUUCUGUUUUUUUUUUUUUUAAUUGUUUGGGGAGUUUUGAUAAAGGUUGACAGCCACCUUAAGUCUAGCCCAGUGCUUCAUGACAGAUCUUUCUGCUCACUAUGUGUUUGCUGUGCCUGUGUGUGGUUUAGGGUGGGUCUACAUUUUGUAUUUAAUGGAGUUCUAUGUUCAAAUUAUUUGCUAAUCCCAGUUUUAUUUGGGACUAUGCAACCAAGUGGCUUCAUGAAUCCUCUCUACCUAAUCUUUGCUGUUCAAAUGGAAUUUGAAACUCAAAUGGACUCAUAAGCUCUUCUUUUUUACCGUGGGCAUUUUCAAUUGAUCUCUGAGUUGAGUGUGUGUGUGUUACUUUCUUGUUUUCCAGGUUAGGACAGUCUCCUUCACAACAGAGUAUCUUUCUGUCUUAGGAAAUGAUCUUUGAAAGGUGUCCCCAGAGUGUAAAAAUAUUUUGACCGAGAAUCUCCACCCAGCCUUUUGUGCGAUCUACAACAUCACCUGCCAAGAGCACAAUGUAACAGAUGAAAACAAGCUCUGUAACCACCCGGCACAAGCUGCCUAUCUCCCUUUUUGCUUGCAAAGAGCUGCUCUCUAGUCACUACUGCAGCGGUAAUAAUAAUUGCCAAGAAUUUGCAUUUCUACUUAUCCUAAAGCUUGGUAUUUCAAAGCAGACACUUCAGAGAACUAAUUAGCACAGCGGUUCAUUAAAACUAAAAAAACGCUCUCACUAGGUAGAUGGAGCAUCCAGACUCUCAACCCAUUUCCCGAAGGCAAACGCCUCCCUGCCUCCUUAGGCUUUUAGCAGUCUGCAUCCCUGGGCUGCGGGAGCGUGGGGAAUGCCAGCUUGUACCAGCCGGGCUCCUGCGGCCCGCCGGGCAGCCCGGGGCACCAGGAGCGCUGGGGCAGCCCCAGCACAGCCCCACAGCGGCGGCGGGGUGCGCUCAUCCAUCCCCGCCACAGCCAGCGACCUGCUGGGCUCCGCCACAGGCACAGCGCUGCCAAAAUGCCGCGGGGAGCAAAGCUCAGCCCGCAGCCGGUGUGCGUCUGCUGAGAGGAAACCAAAGGGAAAUUGCGGCAGCUCUGCGCUCACAUUCUCCUCUUAUUCUUUCUCAGAACCCAAGGAAAUGGCUGUGGCUUUGUGUGGAAGUUAAUUAAUGAUAGUAAAUAAUAUUCCUUUGUGCUAGGAGUGAAUAGCGCCCUUUAUUGGGGGCUCUCAGAGUGCCUAAUGCUCUGUAUUUAAUGCAGCUUUCCAGCUAAAGCUAGCUGAAUUAUUCAUUGCAAAUAAAUUAUCUGAAGAACACAGUCCUGUUUUUCGCUGCCUGUGAGCUCGGCCCGCUUUCUUUGGUGCCCUUUUCCACAGCCAGCGGUGUCCUCGCAACAAUUUGGGCGACUGUCCCGCAGUGCGGGGCUCGCUGUGUGCCGCUGGCUGAUGGGGGAGUGCCGCGGGACGGGCGGCAGGAUCCAGGUGCUGCUCCUGCCCUGAGCCGCUGAAGGGCGGAGGAGGCAAUAAGCAAUGCUGAGCAUGUUCCUUCUCUGCCCACACAGAUGAAUGCACGCACAUGCAUAUGCAUAUGGAGCUUUUCGUAUGCAUUUUCUGGCGCUCACCAAGAGCCCAGACUCCAAUUAAGAACAAUUUCGUAUGGUAAAUCGGCAAAUAAGGGAUUCAGACUACAUCCUUCUGGACUGGUUUUUGGUACAAUUCUCAAUCUUACAUAUAGAAUGCAUCUACUCCCUGGUAUUCAGGCAAAUGAAAACCUCACCCCUGCACUCUCAACCAGUGAAAAGCUCUGGUUGCUCCAAGAGUGUGAGCUCCAUUGCUCCAGGAAAGCAACAGGCUGUGUGUGACCUGCUUGCUUGAGGUUCUGCAAGGUCCUGCAGCACACAGGUUCAGGCGUGUCCACUUGUGGAUCCCAGGGCCUUUUGGAUGCCCUAGGCCAGGGGAGGGGGCAGGUUUGAAACUUUGGUUGUGGUUUCAGCCAACCCUUCAUCAGCAUUUUGUUGCAGGCAGCAGGUUUGGAACAAAGCCCCAGAAGCCUUUUCUCAUGCAGGUAGAGGUCAGCCUUGAACUCCCUGCUACCAGCAAGUCCAAGAUGCCAAAAUCUGAUGUGGACCCAAAAAGCUUUUUGCAGCAUUCCCCUGCAUGGAAACAUGCAGGCAUCACCUGUGUGAGGAGGCAGAAGCCACCACCACAGCUGGUGCUGCUCUCCCAUGUCCUCACUGCCUGUUCCCAAGGAGGGAGAAGAGGGACAGAGCCAAUGCUGGCACCAACCCCAGUGUUGCAGGGAGGAUUUUCCUGCAUGGAUAUCCCAUCGUGGAGCAGAUGCACGGGGAAGCCCUGUCCUCAUUUUCCCCUCCAGAAGCAGUUGCUGCUCUGGGCAAUUUUGCUAAGAGCAUUGGUUACUUUAGUAUUUAACGUGUGUCUGUGAAUUCUUCAGCAAUGAACCAUCUAGACCUGGUGGCCACUGGGGAGCCUCUCCAGGAGGGCUCCCUAUUAAGAGCUGGGUGGACAUGGAUAUUCCCCAAUCAACAGCUGAAACCCUGGACAAAGUGUCACUAAACCUCUAGGUUAAAUAUUGUGGUAAAUAAAUAUAUGACUGAAAAUUAUGAUUUCCAAGAUUUUAACUUAAAAUCAUCUGCUUGCUUGUUGUUUUCUCUAUUUAUUUUAAAAAAUAAGCCCACCUUUGAAUGAACUGUUUGAGUUUUUCUUUAAAAAGACCAUUCUAUGCAAAUUAUUUUCCUUUGGAAAUAGCUAAGGCAAAAAAAAGAAAAAGAAAUCAUAGGUGCAUGUUUUUGUCAGUUCCUUGUAAUCAAUAACACCCCUCUAAAGAAAGCUGAAAUCAGCAAGGGAACAGGCUGAAUCUGUUAUUGUUGUGUUGGUAUUUUGUAAUCACGUUUACUGAGAGGAAAAUAAAUGAAAGUAGUCUGUC